UAACCUUCUUAACCGUUAGGUGCCCCGCAUCGUGUCAUUCAUGUUCGGGGUUAAAAGGGAAGCCGGUGUAAUUCCGGCACGGUCCCGCCACUGUAAUUAGGGGAUGUCCUCACAAUGCCACUGUUUAUUUGAUCAUAAACGGGAAGGCGAGGCGCAUCAGCAACCCUUAAGUCAGGAGACCUGCCUCUCGGUAUAGCAGACG
rnacentral:ncRNA from 1 species